UCCAACAACAAACGCUGUCGUAUAAGCCACGAAAAAACACCCAAAAAAAAUACAAUCUCUCAAAGUAAAAAAGAACCGCCUUCUUCUUCCAUGGCUUCUUGCACUGCCAAACCCUAAUACGGUCAAGACUCUCAAAUCUCAAUCGAUCACAAUCGGAGCGGCGAAACCCACAUCGGCGAUUUCUUUUAUGCGGCGGCGUUUCCCUUCACUUGACGGCGUUUCCCUUCACCUGGAGGCGCUUCCCUUCUCACGGCGAGAGUGAAUAAUGGAAUUUGUAUGAUGGACCUGCACGACAACAUAGUGGGAAAAAUCUAACUACUAAGCGCGUAUCUUUUGGGGAAGUUCCCUAUCCCAAGUCUAGUAUGGAGAGAGACAAAACAAAACUAGGCCAUACUCUUGUUCAAUUAGGCCAGUGUUAUCCUGCUAUAAGUUCAGGUACGCCUACCCUCAGAUAUGCAGUAAAAUUUCUGCUCAAGCUGAUUUAUGGUCGUCGAAGAUGCUUACUAUGAGGUUAUAUCAAUCUUUUACUAUUGUAUAAGAUAUGCUUUUCCUUAUAAAAACUUUCUUAUGCGGCUACAAUUAAAUCAAAGCAUUAUUCUUCACCAAUAUCCUUGUAGCUUUAUUAUUUAGCUGGCCGGUGCAGAAUAUAUCUCAACUUGCCUCUCGAUUUCAUGUUUAGGAGUGUCUCGGAAGUAAUAGUUAACUGACAUAAAGAGCACCCCCAUUUCUUGGUAACUAGAAUUUUCUUUCAUCCAUCGGCUUCACUUGGCUUUUCUCUUCCUCCAUAGGCUGCACUUGGCUUACUACUUGCUCCUUAUGCUGCAUUGAAUUCUCAGUUGAAUACUCCCUCCGUAUUUAUUUAAGAGAUACACUUGCCUUUUCCGGCCGUAUUUAUUUAAGAGAUACACUUGCCAUUUUUAGUAACUUAUCAACCCCACCAUCUAAUUAAAUAAUACAUCUAAUAUACCCUAUCACCCACCAUCCUAUUAAACAAAUAUUUUCAUAAACCCACCCCACCCUCCACCCACCAAAAUGACAUGGUCCCCACAUAUUUAAUUAUUAAAAUAUCUAUCCAACCCCACUUGCUUUAUUAUUUUAUUUCAUUCAAUUAUUUUUCUUAAUACCCGUGCCCGGCCAAGUGUAUCUCUUAAAAAAAUACGGAGGGAGUAGUUGUUAGUACUAGUAUUGCUGGUUGUGUCGCCAAAUUUAGUCACUGCUUCUUUUACUUUCUACUUUUUCCGAUGGAGAUGAAGAUUCAUCCCUCCUGCUGAUGUAGCAGAAACUCCACCAAGGAGCAAUACCAGCUGGUCAGGGAGUUGAGGUUUGUAAAUAUAGCAACAAUUUGGAUAAAUCAUACUUGGCUACAUGAUAUCUUUACAGGCAGCUUACAAAAGUUCGAUACAUAACUUAAACCUAAGCUUUCUUAAUUCCACUAUCUUAUAAGUUACAAGAAUAGAUUGUAAAAGUUAAGAAAUGAAACAGAAAUAAAUAACAAAUUACCUCUAUUUGCUUGUCUAUUUGAUGCACUGUAGUUUAAUCCUGUCAGGUCUUGUUCUACCUGAACAAUUUGAACUCAGAUAUUUUCAUUUUCAAAAAAAGGCAAAACUAGGUUCUUUACAUCACUUUAACUUCCCACAAAAAAGUCAAUCCAUUCAGUUUAAAGUGUCUUUGAUGUACUAAAAUAUCUUCAGUUUGUCGUUAUUGGCUAUUGGAUACAAUUUUGACUUUAAGUUUUCCUACUCCAUGAGUCUGAGAUACUCUAGGUUGGGCAAUCCGACCUGUUUCCUGGUCUUUCUAUGUGUGCGUGUGUGUGCAUGUGCGUGUGCAUGUAUCUUGUAUAGGUUUAGUACUACUGAUCUGAAAUAUAAUAGAUGAUGUGAAUAUUUGGGGAUAGUUGAUAAAGUCAACUCAUAUAGUACAUUCAAUUUUGAAUUAUUAGCUAUUUGAUAGAAGAUCAACUUUUAGCUCUUGUAAUUUUAUAACCCUGAGCUUCUAUUUGUGACAUUUUUUAUUGGCUUCAAAGCUAUUUUUCUGUGCUAGGUUAUGAGAAGGAGCUUGUCCUUUCUCCAACAGUUUCAUCUGAUUUUUUCCGUUAGUGUGUUUCAUGUUUGUUAGUUGAUAUUAAGUGUAAGUAAUAAGGUUCUCCCCUGCAGGUCUUGAGGGCCUUGUUGCCAAAGGAUAUGACUAUUCCUUCUGCUUUUGAAACUGUAGGGCAUAUUGCACACCUGAACUUAAAAGACAAGCACAGAAUCAUAUGAGAUUUAAUCAAAUAGACAAGCACGGUAUCAAGGAGUACAAAUAUAAUCAACUUGAACCAAUUUAUUAAAUGAAAAAACCUGGUUGCUAGUUUAUUGCUUAAUCUUUUUCUAAGAUUGAGCCUCAUUCUUGCCUUUUAAUUAGACCAUGUCUGCUAUUUAGUCUCGGCGCACUGCAUUUUUUGGGGAACCUGCAACCCAACCUACUAUAUCAGUUUGUUCAGCUAGUCUGAUCUACUGCUGAUGCAAUUGUCAUAAUCUGAGACUUUAAUGACAGCUGAUUAGUUUUCUUUAGUAAUUCUAGCUUGUUCUUUGAUAAAUAGUUUAUAAACUCUGUAACUGUUUAUGCAAUUUCUAGAUGAUGUUUAAGAGUUUAAGCAAAUACAGAGAAUGUUCUUAUUCUUGAAUCUGGAAUAUUCAAAGUACGAUUUUUAAUGGUCGGUGGCGGAGGUUCGAUAUCUAAGCUUAUCAUAAAAGUGUCCUUGCCAGGAAAAAAAUUAUAUUCACUUUGGAUAUUAUGUGAUGAGAAUUUAUGAAGGAGAUUUAAUAUCUCACACAAGCAACUUUUCAGAUUGCCAGUUUCCAAGUUAGGAUAAAGAACAAAUUGACGAAGUAAGAACUCAUUUGGUGCGCUAUGUUGUUCAACAAAUGUAUGGUAGAUAGAUUACAUUGAAGGAAUAAAAAAACAUACAAUUAUAUUAAUUAAUGUGUUUUGCGUAGUUUAAUGUGUGGUCUUAUUUUAGAACAUAUUUAUGUAAUCCGUUAUAUUAUAGUGACAAUUGCAAAAUUCUUUUUAUUGGAGGUUUGGAAUUAAUAUUUAACUAUUUAUUAUAUUA